GCCUAUGGCCAUAUCACUCUGAACGCACCAAAUCUCGAAAGCUAAGCAGGGUCGGUACUUGGAUGGGAGAAAGCAAAAAUAUAAAGUUAAAAACU
rnacentral:rRNA from 10 species